GGGAGAUUAAUUUGACUGAGUUAUGGUUUCAUGUAGUUUUCUUAAAUAAUGUAAUGGCAAAAAAUGGUGCUAAUUGUAUGGUAUAAAACAAGAAGGAACUAUUUUUUCUUGAUAGAAUCGUUGGUUUCAUAGAAUGAAUGACCAGUUUUUGCUUAACAACAGUGCAAAUAGUAAAACUACCAUUAUUUUCCAAUAACGGGACAGCCCGUCGCAGUUUAUUCCUUACAUAUAAUACAGUGGUAAGAAUAUAUGGCAGCAGGUGUACAGUAAUGAUAAACUGUAAUGUAGACAGGUUGUGCACUAAUAAUGAGAACUGAUAAGGACAGGUAGGAUGUAAACAGCUAGCUAACGUUAGCACCCACUGGCGCCCAACUUUGUUUUUCUUCAUUUGUGUAAGAACUUAAUUAUCAACUGCAGCCAUUUCCUCUUCUCUUUCUCAUCGCAAGGAAAGCAGUAGAAUGACAAUUGAAUAGUUUUUUUGGACUCAGAUCUAUUCAAGCAACAAGGGACUCAGCACUCAGCACUACGGCAUGUUGAAAAGACAAGAGCCUCAGCCAACGCAGUAGAGGCUUGGACCCGGAAACAGUAUUAUCGGAAGGUCGAUACGUCAUGGCUUAACAAGCGGAUAACUUAACUAUGAAACGACCUGACGUUCAAGACCGCGGCGACCGCAAGUAUGAAACAUGAAUGAUGAGCUACGUACUUUGUCAGCAUGCUGACUCUAGACGGUGAAUCAGCACCGUGCAGACCGCGCCGACCGCAAGAAGCAUGAAACACAAAUGCUGAGCUAUCUAGCUGGGUACUUUAUUAGCAUGCUAACGCCAAACGGCGGAUCAGCAAUAUACUUCAGAAUUCUUACCUGACGUCUCUGGAGAUUCGCUACCUCUUGCAUUUGCCAGUAUUUUUAUACGGUCUAUGGUUUGGCAUCACAAAUUGCCAACAGUGAUUUGCGUUUCUUUUUAGGCAUGAUGCAAACAUUCUUCAAAAAAAAAAACUCUCUUUCUUUAAUGGAUCCUGUCCAGCAUUUUCAGUUCCGUCUCUGGUGUGUGGUGUAACUCUUACCGUUGGUACAGUGGAAAGUAGUUCCGGGUGACAGUAGUUCCAGAUUCCAAAAUAAAAAGUAAAACUGCUGAUUACUUAUUUAACAUUAAAAAUUAAAUGAUGAAAAACACCGUAUGCAAUGGACGGCCCCUGAACAUUUAUUUGGGGCAAGUUUGGAGGAACUGGAGGAAUGUGGAUUGGAGGAGUGGUGGGACACACAAACACAUACACAAACCGCUCUCCAAUUAUAGUAGUAGGAUUUGUGACGCUCAUUACAGUAACUGGUUAAUGUGACACACUGGGUGAGAGGACGGCAUGGGCAGACUGUUUAAGAAAUAAGUCUGAGUGACUGGGUGCAACAGUACCCUCCUGGUCACUGACUGAGUCAUUAUACUUUGCACAGUUUGCAGUGAAUCCAUACAUGUGCAAUAAACAGGAAUUCAUUAAUUAUAGACAAAAAAAUCAGUUGCACUCUGAAAUAAGCAAUGAGGGGAAUCCUCGGUUAGUGGAAAAAAACUGAAUUGAGUUGAGAUACCUGCCAAAAUUAGAGGGAUGCAUUUUUUAGUGUAAACACACCACUUAAAAAAUCUCAAAAGACAUGCAUUUUUUAUAUGCAUGUAAGAAAUGACAUGGUGUGCAUCACUGUUUCCGGUUUUAGUUAGUUGUAGUAGUCGUGAAGAGAAUUGCGAGGAGACCUGGAUAGCAGUAGCGAUCAUGAGUGUUUUUAAGAUUAAGGAGAAACGAUUAAUAUAUCAAUGGCAAGAGAAGAAAACAUCUCUACAUUGUGUGCCUUGAUGUGCUAAUUUGUCGAGGUACAACUCAGAGAUUAGCUUUCAUCGGUUUCCAAAUGAUCCUGAGGUAUGGGCUCAGUGGCUCAUUAAGAUCCAUAGAGACAACUUUAAUCCCACUCAAAAUAUGCGCCUCUAUAGUAGGCAUUUCCAUACAGGUGAUUUCAUUGUGACAGCUGGGGGACAGAGAAGACUCAACAAAGGAGCUGUACCUUCUCUGUUUGUCUGGAACGAUUAUACCAUACCCGCACCAAGGCUUAAUGUUUGGGAACGUCGGCCGAGAUGCCCUUCCCCUGACUUAGCAGCAUCUGACUCCGACUCCGAGAUGGAAGUGCAAAUAGCGCCUGAUCACGAUUACAGCGUUACUCCGAUGACCUCAGUAAUGGCAGAUGAUUUGGCAAAUGAGAACGAAGCAUUGAAGAGAAAAAUACAGGAGCUACAAAACCAGCUUGAAACAUAGCUGCAGUCCCGCAUUGGGCUGCAACGCCUUGCAGGAUCAGACGAAGACAUUCGUUUUUAGACAAGGUUGGUCCAUGUUUUUUGGAAUAGCAUUAAAUUAACCUCUCUCUCUCUCUCUCUCUGUGAGAGAGACAGAGUCUGUCUAGUUCUGUAUGUGUGUCUAGUCGUGUGUGUGUGUGUCUGUGUCAGUCUCAGUAACGUAUAGUUAACAACCAUAAUCUAAAAAAGGCUAAAGUGAUUAUCAUUUCAUUCUAAGAUUUGCGUCAUACAAGCAUUUCCAGGCCUUUUGGCAACUAUUGGAGCCUGCUGUAAAAACUAAGAUGGUGCCAAUGCUGCCUCUGCCAACAGCAAUGAGCCAACUCAACUAAGAGCAACAAAACUUGCACCCAUAGAUGAAUUACUGCUGUUUCUGUUGCACUUGUCUGUGGGCCUGCCUCUCAGGGAUCUUGCCAACCGUUUUGCUAUUCACCGCACCACAGUCAGCAGAAUCAUUGCAACCUGGACGCACUUUCUGUACCAUCUACUUGGUUCCAUCCGCCUGUGAACACCACCAGAAGAAUUCAAAGCUCAAUUACCACCAGAGUUUUUAUCAUUCCCUGACACACAAGUGAUACUUGACUGUACAGAAAUUUUUUGCCAAACCCCCUCCUCUCUCGUUUUCCAGAGUGAGGUGUUUUCAACAUACAAAUCACACACUACAUUCAAGGCCAUGAUUGGCAUUGCACCCCAUGGUCCCAUCACCUUUGUGUCUGCGUUGUAUGCAGGUUCUAUGAGCGACCGGGAGAUUUUCGAGCUAUCUGGCAUUUCCAAACUCCUAACAGCAGACACGGCUAUUAUGGUGGACAAGGGCUUUCUUGUGGACACCCUUGUUCCCUGCAAGGUUUACCGACCUGCCUUUCUUUCAAAGAACAUCCAAAUGUGUUUGGAGGAUGUCCAGCAGACGCAGUCUGUUGCCCGCUUGAGAGUCCAUGUCGAGAGGUGUAUCCGGAGGGUUAAAGAGAACAAACUCUUUGACAAAGUCAUACCCUUACCAGUGUGUGGAAGCAUUGAUCAGCUGUUCAGUGUGGCUUGCUUACUGGUAAACUACCAGAAUGGACCACUGGUGAAGGCAUGGGCAGGUAAACAUUGGUUUGUAACUCAUGGAAGUUACAACCUAAUGACACAUUAAUGGAAUAAUGGCACUUGCAGACUGUACUGGGGUUAAGGCUGCGAUCAUAACAAAGUUAUCACUCGUUAGUAUUUAAGUCUGUUGAAAGCAGUGACCGCCAAAUAUUUACAGGUCAGCAUUGUUAACAUUGAUAGGUACAAAAAACAGAUGCCCAAAACAUUCUACAAAUUGUAAAGUAGAUCUGAGAUGGCAAGAUGUUAAUGUUAUUUUUAUCUGUUUAGAGAUAAGGGGGGAGAAUCUCAUUUUACAUUUCUGUUUUGUUUGUUGUUAUUAUAAAUGAGAUUGUAAUUAUGAAUUAAUUCAAAGAGCUUUAAGAAAAUGACAGGUGACUAUAGAGUUAUAAAGUGAUUUUUGAAUAAAUAAGGUCCUCUUUAGUAAAGAGGAUAAAAUCUGUUAAAAUACUCUACUGGCUUAUUCUAAUAAAGUCAAAUGCAACAACCAUA